GUCAGAAUGGCCGAGCGGUCUAUGGCGCCAGACUCAAGGUUGUGCACCUUCUCCAAAACAGAGAGAUUUCUGGUCUCCGAAUGGAGGCGUGGGUUCAAAUCCCACUUCUGACA
rnacentral:tRNA from 1 species